rnacentral:rRNA from 1 species
UACAGAGGGUGCGAGCGUUAAUCGGAAUUACUGGGCGUAAAGCGUGCGUAGGUGGUUUAGUAAGUCAGCUGUGAAAUCCCCGGGCUCAACCUGGGAACUGCAGUUGAAACUAUUAAGCUAGAGUGCGGUAGAGGGAAGUGGAAUUUCCGGUGUAGCGGUGAAAUGCGUAGAUAUCGGAAGGAACAUCAGUGGCGAAGGCGACUUCCUGGACCGUAACUGACACUGAGGCACGAAAGCGUGGGGAGCAAAC